UACGAAGGGGGCUAGCGUUGCUCGGAAUUACUGGGCGUAAAGCGCGUGUAGGCGGGUCUUUAAGUCAGGGGUGAAAUGCCAAGGCUCAACCUUGGAACUGCCUUUGAUACUGGAGAGCUUGAGUCCGGGAGAGGUGAGUGGAACCGCGAGUGUAGAGGCGAAAUUCGUAGAUAUUCGCAAGGACACCAGUGGCGAAGGCGGCUCACUGGCCCGGAACUGACGCUGAGACGCGAAAGCGUGGGGAGCAAACAGG
rnacentral:rRNA from 1 species